rnacentral:lncRNA from 1 species
CCAGAAGAAGAUGUUAGGCAUUCCCGGGUUCCGUGGUUCUAGCACGAUCGCUUAGCAAUUUAUACUUGGCUUAAAUUGUUUAACUACUCAUUUUAGGACCUAUGUUUAUUUUACGUUUUACAGCUAUUAAUCACUUGAUAAUCCGUAUUUAAAGAAUUAACUUAAGAUGAGUUACGUGUACGUAUACUCAUUUCGUUUGGCGCGUCAAAAUCAUAUCAUGUGUACGUGUCGACAAUUAAUCACGCUUUAUUAUUAUCAAGCAAGUUCGGUCGAAGUUGCGCGAAUGCAUACCUCGAUUUUGUUAUUAGGAUCAUAAUCAUGUCACGCUAACGUGUACACAAUCACGAUGAUAGAUUAAGUCGCGCCUAAAACAAACUACGAUAUUUAUAAUCAUUUACCUCACUAAACUUGAGAAUUCUUAGAAAAGUCAUAAACUAUGUUGUUAAAGAUUCUGAUAUGGUAGGUCUAUCUCUAAUCCUAGAGCUACUGCCAAUUUUCUGUAGCUAGCUUGAGUUGGUAUUAGCCAUUUAAACUUUGAAAAUGGCUAUGUGGAUACUUCCUACAUCCUUUUUCAUGAGAUGAUGAAUAGUUAUCACAAGAUAUUUGAGAAAAUUUUUAAGGAGCCAUUCAGUUAUUUAAAAACAAACUGAAGUCAAUCACCAUUAUUACAAAGUUGUAUGAUAUACAUGUAUAAUCCUAGAAACUUAAACGUGUUCAAGAGUGUUGAGUUCUGAGCCAUCAUCAUUUUGAUUUGGUCCUUUCUGCCUCAAAUAUCACAGUUUUUCUUCUGUGGAUAUCACAGAGUAAACAUCACAAUAUAGGCAGAAGCUUGUAUAAUUUCAAUCUAGUAGAGGCCACAAAAUAAAACAUUAUGCUGAUACUGUUGUGAAUUGUAUAAAAAAACAUGGAACUACACCAUUAUUGGAGACCAAAUAAAAAUUCAUAGAUAAUGUCUAGUAAUAUACAACAGCCAGCUUUACAGAGUUAUCAAACAAUCAGAUACCAGAAGAGGCUCCUCGUUGAGUCACUAUUAGAGAUUAAAUGAGCCAACUUUGAAAAAUAAAGGGGCAAUCUUCACAUGCCAAGUCAUUAGGAAAUUAUUCCAUCCAAGAAUUAACAUACUUUACCAUCACUACUGUUUCAAAGAAUCAAAUGCUAAUAUACUGUAAUGACUCCAUUUCACAAGUGAAUCAAUUCAUCAACCAUGAACAAAUAUUGACAUACACACAAAGCAAAAAGAUUUGUAGUUAAACAUCAGGAUUCUAACAGAUUCGGCAUGUUCAUAGAGUUAGCAACUCAAAUAUUCAUUCAUUUUUUCAAAUAGAAAAUAACAAAAGUAAGCGGACGCACCUAAAGGCAGAAAACAACAAUUAGAGGACCAAAUAAAGGUAUGAACUUCAAAGCUGGAGCUCAGCAGCUCCAAAAACGAGCAACCCCAACAGAUUCGACAACUUCAAUAGCUCAAACCAUUUAGAGAAAUCCCAAAAAAUGUACAACAAUUGAAUGAAAACCCGAAACCAACUUUAAAUCUUCCUUUUCAUCGUUUUUUUCUCUUUUCUUUUUUUUUUUUUUUUGAUUUUUCGGAGUUCUUUUUUUUAGAUCUGAAAUUCGGUACUUUUAAAUCCAGAUGUUUCUGUUUGUGAAAGUGAGAAAGGAAUGAAGA